UACAAAGGUCCCAAGCGUUGUUCGGAUUCACUGGGCGUAAAGGGUGCGUAGGCGGUCGGGUAAGUCUGAUGUGAAAUCCCGCAGCUUAACUGCGGAACGGCAUUGGAUACUAUUCGGCUUGAGGAGUGGAGGGGAGACUGGAAUUCUCGGUGUAGCAGUGAAAUGCGUAGAUAUCAGGAGGAAUACCGAUGGCGAAGGCAGGUCUCUGGGCUGACACUGACGCUCAUGCACGAAAGCGUGGGGAGCAAACAGG
rnacentral:rRNA from 1 species